CGAGCAUCAGUGAAGAACAAAUCCAAAUUGUUAUCCUUGCACUUUGAUUCAUUAUGAAAAUGAAGAAGUUUAUGGGGAAUUAUUAGUCUGAGAUGCUC